rnacentral:miRNA from 1 species
UGAUGGGACACAUACGGAACAU